GACGAACGCUGGCGGCGCGCCUAACACAUGCAAGUCGAACGAGCGAGAGAGAGCUUGCUUUCUCGAGCGAGUGGCGAACGGGUGAGUAACGCGUGAGGAACCUGCCUCAAAGAGGGGGACAACAGUUGGAAACGACUGCUAAUACCGCAUAAGCCCACAGCUCGGCAUCGAGCAGAGGGAAAAGGAGUGAUCCGCUUUGAGAUGGCCUCGCGUCUGAUUAGCUAGUUGGCGAGGUAACGGCCCACCAAGGCGACGAUCAGUAGCCGACCUGAGAGGGUGAUCGGCCACAUUGGGACUGAGACACGGCCCAA
rnacentral:rRNA from 1 species